rnacentral:rRNA from 1 species
UACGUAGGGUGCGAGCGUUGUCCGGAAUUAUUGGGCGUAAAGCGUCCGUAGGUGGCUAGUCAAGUCUGCGGUCAAAGACUGGGGCUUAACCCUGGAAAGGCCGUGGAAACUGACGAGCUAGAGUGCAGUAGGGGUAGAGGGAAUUCCCGGUGUAGCGGUGAAAUGCGUAGAGCUCGGGAAGAACAUCGGUGGCGAAAGCGCUCUACUGGACUGCAACUGACACUCAGGGACGAAAGCUAGGGGAGCGAAUGGG